GUCGCGUUGGCUAUGAUUCCUCUAAAUUCAACGUAGAAGUUAUAUAUCCAGAAGUUCUCAUAACGUGCGACUCGAUAUAUUUUGCUGGAUUUAAGAAUAAAUACAGCUUAAUAAAAUACAUCGUCAUUAUGUUUCAAGUUGUGACCUUACGCUACAGCACUAUUAUUCAACCUCAGAUACAGCCUGUUUUAAGGGGCAUCGAAAUC